rnacentral:lncRNA from 1 species
AAUCUUAUCUCAAUCUAACUCCAACAACUCUCUCUCCUUAUCUCUUCCAAUCUAAUCCACAACUCUCUCUCUUUCUCUUCAUCUCUUCAUCUCUUCAUCCGAUCUAAUUUACUGAAGUUGCAUUACGUCUCCGUUGCUGCUGCUGUUGCGUUGCGCUUGACGAUCCAUCUUCACUGCUCUGUGCUCUAUCUCUGCUGCUACUGCGCUUUAUAUUUGUUGUUGUUGUUGCUUUAUCUCUGCUGUUGUUGUUGCUCCAUCUUUGCCACUGUCGCUGCUACUUUUGCUCUCUCGGCUCCAUCCAUUAUGUUGUGGUAGCAAAUCACAACAAAACUCAUCUAUGGCAAUGAAUAUGAUAAAGAAAAAAUUGACAAGCAUGAUUUAACCAGAACCAAGAAAACUAUCAUCUGCAGAUUACCUUAAGAAAACGGAACGAUACAGACCACGAUUGUGGAGAUGAUCAACUGAAUGAAGUAACUUGUACUUGUUAAUAGAAUAUGGAACGAAAUUAUAAAAAUAUAUAGCUUAAUUAUAGCAAAGAUGUAUGUUGUUAGUGCUUUUACACCAUAUCUGUAUCAUUUGUUAAAAGUUUUAUCCUAUAUUUUAAUUCAUAUAUGUUGUAAUAUAUAUCUCAAUUACAGUGUAUAAACAAUGACAAUAUAAAACCUUUUUUUUUGUUAAUGUUAAUACUAAUAAUUA